AUACGGAGGGGGCUAGCGUUGUUCGGAAUUACUGGGCGUAAAGCGCACGUAGGCGGACUGAAAAGUUGGAGAUGAAAUCCCAGGGCUCAACCUUGGAACUGCCUUCAAAACUAUCAGUCUGGAGUUCGAGAGAGGUGAGUGGAAUUCCGAGUGUAGAGGUGAAAUUCGUAGAUAUUCGGAGGAACACCAGUGGCGAAGGCGGCUCACUGGCUCGAUACUGACGCUGAGGUGCGAAAG
rnacentral:rRNA from 1 species